rnacentral:rRNA from 1 species
CUAAAAAAAAAAAAAAAAGAUUAAGAAAAAAAAUAAAAGAAAAAAAACCCCAUAAGGGUAAUGUGGUGAGGCGGAGGGCUGGCGUGCCCCGUCAUCACCAAAAAAAAGACUGGCGCCUGGCUCCCGUGCCCCGUUUCCCCAUAAACAAAUCCCUUUUUUUAAAAAAAUUAUCCAAAACGGUCCGACCCUUUUUUCUUUACCCGAACCGAACCCUGGUCCCGUUCCCCGUCCCGCCCAACUUGGGCUCCGAACCGGGCYYCGUUUCGGGCCCAGUUUAUUGGAAAAGGGAAAGGGAAAAGGGAAAGGUGGGGAAGAGGGAGGGGGGGAGGGGAAGGGAAGUAGUAAAAUGAGGACUUUAUAAGGGAGAGGGGUUACGAGACCAAGGAUAGCCCAGAGCAAAGGGGGAGGGUCCCCGAACAGACCGAUUUAAGUGAAUGAUGGGUGUUCAGGGACUCCUGGAGCGGGAAAAAAAUUGCGAAGUUUUAAUGUUCCCCUUUUUUGAGGGAGGCUGGAACUCCCCACCUGAAAAUUGUCUUUAUCGCGUGUUUUUGCACAAUUAUUGGGGUUUUCUUGCGCUAUGAAUCUUAUAAGCUUACUUGCUUCCUGGAAAUUCCCCGGUUGUUUUUUAACUUUGGUUUGGUUGCGUGGCAUCGGGAUGUUUCUGGACUCCUCACGAGAAAAUCGUAAGAUAAGUAAGUCUAUAUGUACGCACAAUCUAUAUGUAUGGAAUUAUUGCCCAACCCUAGAAAUUAAUUCUAGCGAUGACCUAAUAACUAAAAUAUUACGAGCUUAUGUAUUUGAGGUAUCCAGACCGACCGUCCAGCCCGUGAGUAUAUUACGUCAGCUAGAGUCAAUCAUAGUUUUUGAUCCUUGCCACUUCAAAUACAGGUUCGGGUGACGUCGUGCUAGGAUAGCUGAGUGGCACCUAUCUAUUCCAAGUCCUUUAGUGC